GGGAUCGACUACCGCUUCGAUACGUGCUCGCAGACACCGUACGUGUACAACCCCACGACCCAGGUCAUGGUCUCGUACGACGACACGCGCUCGUUCGCGGCGAAGGGCCAGUUCAUCAACGAUCAGAACCUCCUCGGCUUCGCGAUGUGGGAGGCCGGGGGCGACUACAAGGACAUGCUCCUCGACGCCAUCUCGGGCGCGAUCGGCAUCGUUGAGGU
rnacentral:misc_RNA from 1 species